ensembl:lncRNA
AUGCCCUCAGGGGUCACAGUUGUCCCGCGUCCGCUGCUGAGACUCUUUCCAGGGAGACCUUGGAGUUUGCUGUGCGGGCUGCAGAGGCUCCGAUCCUGGCCCUUGGGCCCAGCAGGGCAUGCCCUCAUGGGCCAGGCACUGUCCAUACUUGAUGCCGCGGACUCUUCACUGCACACCUGUGACACAGGCGCGGCGCUUCCCUCCGGCCGCCGUGACAGGCCAGCUCGGACUACACGGACCUUCGUCCUCGCCGUCUGGAGAUCACGGGGGCCAGGGCGUUUGCUGGAAGCUCUGGGGCUCCUUGGCUCGUGGAAGCAUCUCCCAGUCUCUGCAUCGUCCCGUGGCACCCCCUCGUGUGCCUGCGUCCACACCUCCCCGUGGUAUGAGCAAACCAGUCCUAGUAGAUGAGAGCCCACCCUAGUGACCUCAUUUCAGCUUCAUCGCGUCUGCAAAGACCCUGUUUCCAAAUACGGUCACUUCCCCAGGUGCUGGGGCUUAGGAUGCCGACAUGAACUGGGGCGGGGAGGGACACAUUCCAUCGCAGGAGGCCCUAGGAUCUCGUUCAUGAGAGAGAAACUGAGGCGCAAAGUGAGAGUCCCGCCAGAGGCCCCACAGCUCCAAGGAGAGGUGCUCUCUGUGCACCUCCCCUGCCGUGGCUUCCAGGCCCUCCUGGGUCGCGGAGGUUAGGGGCUGUGCUUGGUCCUUGGGCAGCCUGCACGCUGUCUGCUGCUCUGGCCCUUGGGUCCCCCGUGGCUCUGGCUGAAGGUCAUGCAGUCAGGGCUCCCCUGAGAUGACAUCACUUCAAGCUCAUGGGCCUCGAGUCUGUUCAGAGUCUCCCAGGACCCGGGAAGCUCCUCAGAGGCCCAGCCCCAGGCCCUAGGCCCUCUGCUGCUGAGAAGUGGGGCCGGGGGCCCUCCGUGCACCACCGACCCCCGGGUGCCUGACCGCUCUGGACCCCACUCUUCCUGCCCCACGUGGAGGCGGCCACCUGCACUAGCCGUGGCCCCCGGCCUCCCUGCUCUGCGCUCGCGCCCCAGUGUGGCCCUAGCUCUUGGCUCCGACAGGAAAGGGUGUUAUGCUGGGGGGGUACCGCAGGGACUUGGAAGAAAUCCGUGGGAUCGUCUUCAGAUAAUGUAAACGUCACUCUUUUUUCAAUGUUCUCUUCAGUAUUUUCUGCGUUUUCAUGCUUCCCUGCACUUCCUGGUUUUGGCUGCGGUCAGAUAGCAGAAGUACUGAAAUACUUCUGAAGCGUCUCAUGGUGCUUCUGGUCUGGCCCGAAACAGGAAGUGCCGUGAAACGUGUCUCCAGAAGUUUCUGUGUCCACCUAGGGCUCCGUGCACAUGGCCGGGGGUCCCACGGGUAUGCUCAGACUCUCCACCCAGGAGGGACCCGCUCCCGGCCUGGGGACGAGACAGUUUGGGGGAACAAAGGAGCCUGUCUGUGUCAUGUCCUGGGGCGGCCGCACAGGCGCAUCAGACAGCAGACAGUCGUCCCGGUCCUGGAGGCUGACGUCUGAGGGCCAGGUGGGCAGCAUCGCUGCACCUGAGGCCUCUCCCCGGCUGUAGACACUGUCAUGCUCUGCGUCCUCACGCGGCCGUCCCUCUGCACAUCUGUCCUCCUGCAAAGGGACGCAGUCAUACGGGUUUAGGGCCACUCCCGUGAGUGCGCUUGAGCCUCUGUAGAGGCCCCGUGUCUGCCGUGCCACUCCGGGGAGCUGGGGGCCCGGGCUUCGACACGCGGCUCUCAGGGAGACACGGUUCAGCCCCCAAGGCCAUCCUUGUUGUUCUUUAAGUCCACACAGGGGCGGAAGGUGAAGCUGGUAACCGCGUAGGUUUAAACCCUGACCCUUGACAGAGCACAGCGUGUCCUGGGGGCCCCAUGAGCAGCCGACCAGGACCCUGCAGACAGGCCCCAGGGGCAGGGCGCACGGCUGGGAAGGCGUUGGCACCCCUGAGUCCGGAGGUUUUCAGGGGGUAUGCAGAUUAUUGUUUUUAAUUUGGUAAAGGACACAUAAGAGUUACUGUACGGUUCAGUGACGUGGGGCCACGCCAGCAUCUGGUUCUAGGACCCUCGUCACCCACCCAGCAGCCCCCUGCCUGCCUCUAGGGACUGAUCCAGCCUGGGUCAUGGUGGGUUUGGGAAACUGUUCCGGUUCCGGGAAACCCUCCUGAGCUGGUCCUCAGAGAAGAAACUGAAGAAAGAGGCUGUCUGGGACUCGGACCCCAGCUCUGCCCCGACCGCUGGCACCUCGGCCGGGGCCCAGGGCUGUCCUCUGUCUGAGAGUGGCGGAGGCAUCUGGACGAGCCGUGCACGGCCACCUCUCCCCCGAGCCCUCAGCCCUUCCUCGCGGCUGCCCCGCCAGAGGGGACGCUCUGUCCAGGGGGCCCCCAGGGGGCCGUCCUAGACCAUUUCCCCAGAACCAACCUGAGCGGGGCGUCGGGAUUUACGGAGGGGGGCUGUGCAGGUGGGGGAGACCGCUGGGGGGUGGGUCACAGGGCUCUGGAGGGGGAGUUAGGCUCCGGGUCGCCUGCAGGGCAGGGUGAGCGGGGCUUCCUUGCCCCCACCCUGUGCAUCAGCUCCCACGUGCCCCUUUAUGGGGGGCGCUGCGGGAAUGCCAUCCCUCAGCAGCCGGGGGGGUGCUGCCCAGCCUGGUUUUCCCACCUGCUGGCUGCUCCCAUAGGGCAGGACCAGCACCCGGUCUGGAGCGCGGGCAGGUGACGCGGGCAUCCCGGCCCUCAGCUGUCUCCGGUGGAGGAAGUUGGUCCCUGUAGGGGAUUUUGAGGGGGAUUUCCAGCUGGGGACCAGCUUUUAUUGAAAGUGCUUAAUGGGUCUGAAAGGUCUGUCCUGUAGCAAAUGAGUCACCUUGGAGGAGAGGGAGACCACAGCAUCUUCGGGUCCCGAGCCGGGCCCUGGCGCGGUGGCCGCGUGGGGCCGUGUCACGCUGCCGAGGGAUGACGAAGGCAAGCCUCCUCAGCCCGGCGCUUCUUCCCGGUGGGCGGGCACUGUGUCAGGGGGUUUCUCCUGCGUGUCACCUGUGCCACGGAGGCCCAGCUGCACAUUGUUUCUGCUGUGUCUAGCAUUCGAUUUGGUGCGCUCCUGCCCUCUCCGCCCGCCACCCCUGCAGAGGCCGACAGUGGGAACCAAAGCACACGCCAGGACUGCGUGGAGCGCCCGAGACAUGCCCCUGGGGGUGUCUGCCAGGAGAGCAGACGCUGGCCUCCGGCCCGAGCUCUGGGCCACCCCCUUACUGGCCAAGCCCAAGGGCAUGAGAACUCAGAGCUGCUGUCCGAUGAGGGGCUUGGCCUCCCCUUUGUGAGGCCCCCGGGAGGCCACGCUGGCUGCAAGCGUGGGCUGUGGGGUGCACUGCCCCUCCUGGAGGUGGGCGCUCGUCCAGGGGCAGUGGGGGGGCCACUCACUGUCCCCGUGGAAAAGCCCUUAGUUACCCCAAGAUGGUUUUCCCCAGUGCCGACAGGGAAGAGCCCACUGAGGACAGCGGCGUGGGGAAGGAGACAGAAGGAGCUGCCUGCGCUUUCACACUGACCCGAGUUAUGACUGUAGGGGUGCAGCAGCCGGAUUGCUGUACGUUGAGGGAAGAAAGAGCAAGCGCCUGACCCCGCCAGCCUUGAGCAGCCCUGCCCGGUGGUGGUGUGUGCCUGGGGCACAUGCAAACACUCCCAGACCUGGUAAUUCUGGGCUCGCGGGUCAGCACGUUUCCACAGCCUGUGCGCUGUCGCUGUUCCUUCCUGAGCUCCGAGUGGUCGCUCCCCACCCCAUUGUUUGAACUGACGGUGGGCUUGUUUGCAACUCUUCCUGAUUAAAAUGCAGUUGGGGGGCGCCUGGGGGGUGCAGUCAGCUCAGUGUCCAGCUCUUUCUGCUCAGGCCGUGAUCUCAGGGUCGUGGGAUCGAGCCCCACGUCGGGCUCCGUGCUCAGGAGGGAGUCUGCUUGGGAUUCUCUCUCCCUCUGCCCCUCCCCCCAUUCUCUCUUUCUCUCUCGCGCAAAUCUUUAAAAAGAUAAAAAUUAAUAAUAAAUGAAGUUAGGGCGCCUGGGUGGCUCAGUUGGUUGGGCGACUGCCUUCAGCUCAGGUCAUGAUCCUGGAGUCCCGGGAUCGAGUCCCGCAUCGGGCUCCCUGCUCAGCAGGGAGUCUGCUUCUCCCUCUGACCCUCUUCCCUCUCGUGCUCUCUAUCUCUCAUUCUCUCUCUCAAAUAAAUAAAUAAAAUCUUAAAAAAAAAAAAUAAUAAAUGAAGUUAGAAGGCA